UAGAGUGCCGUAGUUGAUGACGUGAAUGCUGACCUGUUGAAGUCGAUGCUGUUUACACCUUUAUUAAUUGUACAUGUGAUAGAGAUUUCACUUAUCUCCCUUGGCUUCCUGAUCCUCAUUGGAACAGUCAUCUAUGGAUUGUGUGAACAACAAAUUAGAAGAAAGGAAAUCAAUGGUCGAAGGAUGAAGAAAUGUAAUGUCAACUGUUUCCAUAGAAGUCAUGACAUGGAUGAUUUAGACAAGCCACUUGUCACAGGAUGAACCACAUGUCUGUCAUGUGACUAACAGCCAAUCACAGGCUGUGUUACAGCCUUAGGAUAAAUGAUAUGGUUUAUCUUAUCAUAUUGAUUUUUUGAUAUCUUCUGUAAAAAGCAUUAAGAUUACAUGUGUGGGCAUUAAUGGGCAUCAGUUUUUUACUUGCUAAUAUAAACCAUCUGCAACAAUGAUUUUUUCUGCUUAGUUUUUCAUCAAAAUGAGAUUUUGUACCCUCGCAACAAAAGUUAUCAAGGGUAUAGAGAUUUUCCAGUAUUUAUGUCAAUCCAUACAUCUAUCCAUCCGUAUGUACACCACCCCAUACACUGUCACCACUUUACAGCCUGCCUUUUUUGUUAAAAUAUCAUGGUGCUUCAUACACCUUUUCCGAAACGUCAUUCGUUGUUGGAGUUUGCCCUUCUGCAGAAAAAAUUAGGUCAUUAUUACUAUAAGUAGAAAUUAACAGUUCACAAGCAUCACUUUUUGUGUGAGUUUGCGUUUCAACCUUCCGCAGUCAAUAACUUGGUCACCUUUACUCUUACUCAUAGUUUCAAUAUUCUUAUUUUCAAUGUAAGGUCAUGAUUAAGACAUUUAAGAUAUAUUUCUGAAAGAUAGACUUGUUCAUGAAACAGGCCAAAUCACUCUACAGUUCCUUCACACUUGGUAUUUUAUACAACUAUGGGGCGCAGGUGUAUGUAUCAUAAGGGAUGCUUUAUUUAUGUAGUAAGUAUAGAGGAAUAAUUUCACGAGGUUUUGACCUGAUUUUGUUAUAAACUGGAUUAUUUAUCAUUAUAGGACAUAGUUAUGUAACAAAUUUAUAUGGCCAAAAUCUUUUAUUGAUAAAGUAACUUAUAUGUUAUACAAUAUAAAUCAAUGUAUGUUGAUAUCUUAAAACUGACCAACUAUCCAAAAGUUGUCAAUUAUUAUUUAUACUUCAUUAUCCACAAAACGUUACUAUCACAGAAUUGUGGGAAAUAUAUCAUUAUUUAGUAGCUAAAACAUGUACAGUAUUGUCUGUGUGAGUACAGGUAAGAAAGGGUUGUGAUUGUGUAUAUAGACCCAUAAUUUUUGAACAUCGAGCAGGGAGAUAUUUUGUACUUGUAUAUAUUUUUGGAAUCCUGAGCUAGCGACGACAGUCCUUCUUGUGUUGUGACUGCCGUCCAACGAUGCAUGUGUAUCAAUGCAAAUAUUUGGUGAGACCUGGGUACCUAUCAAUCAUAGGUAUAAUAAUACUAGGCCACCAAGUUCUGUACAUAGCUGAUGAGAUAUCCAAUGUGUGUGUAUGUGUGUGUGUGUGUGUUUGUGUGUGUGUGGUCAGUACCUCUGUUUAAUGUUCAUUUUUGUUUUAUUUGGCUGUGAUCUGGACCUCAAAUAUCGUAUCCUAAUAUUUUUAUUUAGUUUCAUGAAAAUAUAUUGAAAAUGAAAAUUGGCAAAGCUCAGACAAGUAGAUUCUAAUGUAGAUGUGUUUAAAUAGAAUUCUAUACUCCCUCUAGAUUUGACGAUGAUAAAGAGUAAAAUAAAAAUAAUACAGAAAAUUGUUUUUAAAAAGUCCAGGAAAAAUACAAAGUGUUAUAUUACAAAAUUAUGUAAACUUUUAGUUAUCUCACAGUGUUAAGUGGAAAGGAAAUCCAGCUAUUUCUAGAUUUGUAAGAAGAUUCGCUGUGUUUUGUACAUAAAGUGUUUUAUUUGUUGGAAUAUGAAUGUGUUCCUUUGGAUGAUUGAGUAACUGUAGCUUGUGAUUAAAAACAAUUUAUUUUCUAAUGCAUGGUAUGAUACCAGAAUGUUUAUCAUUCUUAUGUUAGGAGCAAUAUGAGAUGUAAACAUGAUACUGUGAAGGUGUUUUAUGUAAAAGUUAUAAGUAUAACUGACUGAUUUAAACUGUUUGUAUAAAGUGCAUUUAAUCAGAUAUGGAAAUCAACAUAGAAAUUCAAAAGGUAGAAAUAGAUUUUAGAGAAAGGAACUCUCCUGUUUGUAAGUCUCUGGCAUGAGCCGCCUUAAAUCUUUGAAGUAAACAGAAAAAAUCUUCACCACAUGCAUUGAGACUGUAUGGAUUUAAACCUAGAUUGUAGGUAACAUGGAGGAUUUACAUUAACUAGAAAUUGAAAUAACAUGAUAUCAUGUUGAUUUCUUUUUUAUAUCUACAUCUGGCAAAUGAACAAAAUUUGUCUGGUCCUAAUUUCCAAAAUCCCUAUUUCUAUCCCCAUAUUGAUGGAAAAUUGACUUGAAAUGGUUGUGAUGACCUUGAAGUUAGGUAGCUAGUGAAGCUUGGGAAAUUAAUGUUUUAUUCCUUGUAUAUAGCAAACCAUUAUCAAUUCGUGUUAUUUCACUUUCAACUAUUGACCUGAAAAUUGUAAAUAUUUAUUUUGCCAAAUUCCUUCACCAGUCACCAUGGUGACAGAUAAGUCACCAAUCACAGGCCUGCUGACAACAUCAGAGGUCCUGUCUGCUGCACCAAAUUCCACAACUUUAUACAGAUUUUUGUUAGGUAACAUGGGUAGAAUUAUUAACAUGGAGUGUCAACACUGUCUGGGAAAGUUGUGUGGAAAUUCAUCUACUGGAGACAGAAAUGUCUGAGUACACACUGGUGAUGGAAAACUGGCAUGGACAUUCAUGUCAAUGUUACCAAAUGUUAUAUACAAUUUUCAAAUUCCAGUUUUACAUAUUUUUGAUCAGUGCUUAAAAAGAAUGUUUUUUAUCUGGAUCUUUCUGUCUUUGUGUAAUUUUUGUUCUGGGUAUAGCUAUUAUUGGAUCUGUUGUUUGUUGAAAUUCUGUGGAAAGUUUGAUUUUUUACACUAAUGCUGUACCUUAUAGUCUGCACUGCCAGAGUUACCUUAAUUAUUUAUCUAAUUAUUUAAUUAAUUUAUUUGCAUAUUUUGUUUCUUUUAUACUUUCUUUAUAAAUCACCAGAUGAUAUUUCCUCUUUGGUUUCUGUUUUUGUAAUCAAAGUAAUCUAGAGCUAUUGUUGUACUAAUUACCGCAAAGGAUUUGAAUUCGCAAUUGAUUCUCCUCGCUGUUAAUGCGAAAAUAAAUCCCAUGCAAAAUAUAAGUGCUUUACAGUAUACUGUCAUAGAUUAAAUAUAUUUGUCAUCGGAAUUCCAUGUCAUCAUAUAUGAACACUGAACACUUGGGUGAUUAGAUUUCCUAUAUAGUCCUUUGUACCUUUGUGUCUGUACAGAUACUAGCUAUCACCUUUCUCUAAUUUGACAUCUACUUAAUAUAUCUUCCUCAUUUCAAUGUUUUGCAAAGUUUUCUAUUAAAAGAUCUGAAGUU